GACGAACGCUGGCGGCGUGCCUAAUACAUGCAAGUUGAGCGCUGAAGGUUGGUACUUGUACCAACUGGAUGAGCAGCGAACGGGUGAGUAACGCGUGGGGAAUCUGCCUUUGAGCGGGGGACAACAUUUGGAAACGAAUGCUAAUACCGCAUAAAAACUUUAAACACAAGUUUUAAGUUUGAAAGAUGCAAUUGCAUCACUCAAAGAUGAUCCCGCGUUGUAUUAGCUAGUUGGGGAGGUAAAGGCUCACCAAGGCGAUGAUACAUAGCCGACCUGAGAGGGUGAUCGGCCACAGUGGGACUGAGACACGGCCCAAACUCCUACGGGAGGCAGCAGUAGGGAAUCUUCGGCAAUGGACGAAAGUCUGAACGAGCAACGCCGCGUGAGUGAAGAAGGUUCUCGGAUCGUAAAACUCUGUUGGUAGAGAAGAACGUUGGUGAGAGUGGAAAGCUCAUCAAGUGACGGUAACUACCCAGAAAGGGACGGCUAACUACGUG
rnacentral:rRNA from 1 species